UUUAUUUUUUUAAAAUCAUGUUUAUUUCAUUUUUGUUGUGACUGAUUAAUAGAAAUACAGGCACGACAUUUCAAAAGAAAGUCUGAAAAUUUGUUUUCAACACCUGCCAAGAACACAUUCAAGAAUGAAACAAGUAACAGAAUGAAAGAAUAGUGUUAGGACUUCACUCAAAUCAAAUGGAAACAAAAGACUUAUAUGAAAUAUAGCCAAUGUGUUUUAUAAACAGGAAGGCCUCUCUUUAAACUCAAUGACAGAUGCAAAUAAAAAUACUAAUUUAUACAGCUGUGCUGAAAAGUUGGAAAAAAAAAUAUUUUUUUUAAUGUAUUUAAUUAAAAAUAAAUACAUAACAGAUCAACUAGUUAGACUGCUUCCAAAAUUUAGUUCUAAUUUCUAAACUGAUUAAAACAGUAAAACUCAAGUGUUUUUUUUUUAUGAUUUUUUUUGUUUAAGACUAAAUAUUGCUUAUACAAUCAUUUAAUUUUUUUAAAAUAAGAAUUUAAGAAAAAUGUUUCAGUUUUGUAACAAAGCAAAUGCUAUUAAAUGACUAAAUUUAUAUAAUAUUGGAAAACCAGAUGAUCAAUGUGUAUAAAUAUUCAGCUGCAGAUACCUAGAGUCAAUAUAAAUCAUUGCCAAAAUGUCUACACUGACAACCAUAAUUCUUUACAUGUAUAGGUCUGAAAAAAAAAUUGUUUGUACUUUUAUACACCAAUUUCUCAAACCCAAGAAAAAGUCAACUAAAUGCGGAUGAUUCUACAAAUCAAUCAAAACAAUAUGUACAAGAUUAUUAUUAAUGUGUAAAGUAAGCAAAGUAAGUAUUGCUUCAGAUACUAGUCUGCGAUACAAUAGAAAUAUUUCAACAUAAGAACAUUCAAUACAUAUAACAGAGGUUCUUCUCUACAGAACAAAAUAUAUUUUGUUUCUGAAUAAUAAAAUGUUUCAGUAUAAUGACUAGUGGGAAUGGUUUCAGUGUAUAGCAACCAACUGCAUAACUUCUUAGAUUUAGAUACAAUAGAAAAAAAAAAAAAGAUAAAUGCGUUCAGUGCAUAGAUUGUAAAGAAAUUUGGUGUGGGAAAAAACAGGACAAAAGAAUAACUUAUAUCACUUUCUCAAAAAGGUUUCUUACAAUACUACAAUGCAUUACAAAAAAAUAAUAAUAAUAUUUUUAUAUUUUUUUUCACCCAUGCAAGCUUAAAAAAAUAUCACAAAUGCAAAUGACUAUAGCCAUGGUUUCUAAUGUUCUCAUAUACACAUUCUUGAAACAGGUGAAGCACUCUCCUAGACUUUGACUUUUUCUUCAUACAAUCAAAGUACCUAAUAUUUAGAUGGACAUUACUUAGACAUUCUCUUCAUACCAUCAAAGUACUCAUAUUUAGAAGGACAUUGCUUAGACUUUCUCUUCAUAACAUCA